UGCCGGCUUAGCUCAGUUGGUAGAGCAUCGGUAUCGUAAACCGAGGGUCAGCCGUUCGAGUCGGCUAGCCGGCAUC
rnacentral:tRNA from 1 species